CCCUUAGAUGUUCUGGGCCGCACGCGCGCUACACUGAUGCAUUCAACGAGUGUACCUUGGCCGAGAGGCCUGGGCAAUCUUUUGAACGUGCAUCGUGAUAGGGAUAGAUUAUUGCAAUUAUUAAUCUUGAACGAGGAAUUCCUAGUAAACGCAGAUCAUCAAUCUGCAUUGAUUACGUCCCUGCCCUUUGUACACACCGCCCGUCGCUCCUACCGAUUGAGUGGUCCAGUGAGGCUUUGGGAUCUGAGCGGAAAGAGCGUUUCGCUGUUUCUGCUCGGAAAACUCAGUCGAACCUUAUCAUUUAGAGGAAGGAGAAGUCGUAACA
rnacentral:rRNA from 1 species